rnacentral:rRNA from 1 species
UACGUAGGGUCCGAGCGUUGUCCGGAAUUAUUGGGCGUAAAGAGCUCGUAGGCGGUUUGUCGCGUCUGCUGUGAAAUCCCGAGGCUCAACCUCGGGUCUGCAGUGGGUACGGGCAGACUAGAGUUCGGUAGGGGAGUCUGGAAUUCCUGGUGUAGCGGUGAAAUGCGCAGAUAUCAGGAGGAACACCGGUGGCGAAGGCGGGACUCUGGGCCGAUACUGACGCUGGAGGAGCGAAAGCGUGGGGAGCAAACAGG